rnacentral:snRNA from 1 species
AAACACUCAAGGAACAACGA